GUAAGGAAUGUUGAAGUGUAAGGAAUACUGAAGUGUAAGGAAUGUUGGAGUGUAAGGAAUGUUGGAGUGUAAGGAAUGUUGGAGUGUAAGGAAUGUUGAAGUGUAAGGAAUGUUGGGAUGUAAGGAAUACUGAAGUGUAAGGAAUGUUGGAGUGUAUGGAAUGUUGGAGUGUAAGGAAUGUUUGGAUGUAAGGAAUACUGAAGUGUAAGGAAUGUUGGAGUGUAAGGAAUACUGUAGUGUAAGGAAUGUUGAAGUGUAAGGAAUGUUGGAGUGUAAGGAAUACUGUAGUGUAAGGAAUGUUGAAGUGUAAGGAAUGUUGAAGUGUAAGGAAUACUGAAGUGUAAGGAAUACUGAUGUGUAAGGAAUACUGAAGUGUAAGGAAUGUUGGAGUGUAAGGAAUACUGUAGUGUAAGGAAUGUUGAAGUGUAAGGAAUGUUGGAGUGUAAGGAAUGUUGGAGUGUAAGGAAUGUUGGGUUGUAAGGAAUACUGAAGUGUAAGGAAUGUUGGAGUGUAGGAAUGUUGAAGUGUAAGGAAUGUUGGAGUGUAAGGAAUGUUGGAGUGUAAGGAAUACUGUAGUGUAAGGAAUGUUGGAGUGUAUGGAAUACUGUAGUGUAAGGAAUGUUGAAGUGUAAGGAAUGUUGGAGUGA
ensembl:lncRNA